rnacentral:rRNA from 1 species
GACGAACGCUGGCGGCGUGCUUAACACAUGCAAGUCGAACGGAAAGGCCCUGCUUUUGUGGGGUGCUCGAGUGGCGAACGGGUGAGUAACACGUGAGUAACCUGCCCUUGACUUUGGGAUAACUUCAGGAAACUGGGGCUAAUACCGGAUAGGAGCUCCUGCUGCAUGGUGGGGGUUGGAAAUUUUCGGCGGUUGGGGAUGGACUCGCGGCUUAUCCGCUUGUUGGUGGGGUAGUGGCUUACCAAGGCUUUGACGGGUAGCCGGCCUGAGAGGGUGACCGGCCACAUUGGGACUGAGAUACGGCCCAGACUCCUACGGGAGGCAGCAGUGGGGAAUAUUGCACAAUGGGCGGAAGCCUGAUGCAGCAACGCCGCGUGCGGGAUGACGGCCUUCGGGUUGUAAACCGCUUUCGCCUGUGACGAAGCGUGAGUGACGGUAAUGGGUAAAGAAGCACCGGCUAACUACGUG